rnacentral:ribozyme from 14 species
AGGAAAGAAAGGACGAUGAAGUUUUUUUUUUCUUUUUUUUUUUUUUUUCAC